rnacentral:rRNA from 1 species
AACGGGGGGGGCUGGCGUUAUAUUCAUCAUGGACUGGGUGUAUAGGGAUUAAAAGGUGGUUUAUUAAAUUAAAUGUGAAAAGCUAUAGGAAUUAAUCUUAAGCAAACCAUUUAACACUGAUAAAACUUGAGUAAAAAUAGAGGAAAAUGGUACUCUUGGUGAAGAAGAUGGUAUUCGCUGAUAUCGAUGGGGAUGUCGUA